AUUGAACGCUGGCGGCAGGCCUAACACAUGCAAGUCGAGCGGAGCGGCGGACGGGUGAGUAAUGCCUAGGAAUCUGCCUGGUAGUGGGGGAUAACGUCCGGAAAAGGGCGCUAAUACCGCAUACUAUCAGAUGAGACUAGGUCGGAUUAGCUAGUUGGUGGGUUAAAGGCCUACAAAGGCGACGAUCCGUAACUGGUCUGAGAGGAUGAUCAGUCACACGGGAACUGAGACACGGUCCAUACUCCUACGGGAGGCAGCAGUGGGGAAUAGUGGACAAGGGGCUAAAGCCUGAUCCAGCCAUGCCGGGGAUGUGAAGAAGGUCUUCGGAUUGGAAAGCACUUUAAGUUGGGAGGCGUUACCAACAGAAUAAGCACCGGCUAACUUCGUGCCAGCAGCCGCGGUAAUAC
rnacentral:rRNA from 1 species